GCGGUCGUGGUGGAAUUGGCAGACACACCAUCUUGAGGGGGUGGCGGGGCGACCCAUGCGAGUUCGAGUCUCGCCGACCGCACCA
rnacentral:tRNA from 1 species